rnacentral:tRNA from 2 species
GGCCGUCGUAGGUGGAGUUGGUCACCACCGCCAGCUUGAUGCGCUGCCCGCGAUCACGGGCGAGAGGGUUGGCCUGGAUCUUCGCCUGGAUCGCCUC